CAAAGGACGUGCGGCUGCCGAGAGAACGAAGGAGAGGAGAAUAAGAAAGAAAAGCAAGAGAAGAGAGGAGAGUAUAGAGACGAGGUGCUGGCCGCUGAGUACAGAGAGAAGGUGUUGGCUGCUGAGUAUAGAGAGAGAGAGAGGAGGUUCCGUUGUCGAGACAGAGGAGGUGCCGCUACUGAGAGAGGAGUUGCCGCUGUCGAGACAGAAGAGGUACCGCUGAGUAUAGAGAGAGRGAGACGAGUUGUCGCUGCUGAGAUAGAGGAGGUGCUGCUGCUGCAUUCUAAGUCCAAAAAAACCUAGAAGAAAAGGAGAAAUCAGAGAUAAAAAUACAGAUAGAACAAAGAGAAGGGCGAAUACAAACAGAGGAGGUGCCGUUGCAUAUUCAAGUAAAAAAAAAUAUAAAACCUAAAAUCAUAUCGGCUGAAUCAAAGUUUAGAUACAUGAAUUAGCAACCCCUCCAAUUCAAAGUGGAGAUAAUUCUCAUCCCACUCCAGAAGUACUAUCACCAAAUCCGAUGCAAGAACUUAGAGAAAAGCCAUCUCAAGUGUCUACAAGAGAGGGGGAGAAGGGGAAAGGCAAGGGAGAGGGAAAAGGAAAGGGAAAGGCACUCUUUUGAUGAGUGUUUUACUUUCUUUUUUUUGUAAUAUUUUUGGCAAGGGAAAAACACUUCCGAUGAGUGUUCUAUUUUCCUUUUUUUUGUGAUCUUUU